AAGUCGUAACAAGGUUUCCGUAAAUGAACCUGCGGAAGGAUCAUUAAUGUGUAUCGUCGAUGCUCCAAGUAUCGUUCGUACCCACCCGUGUCUACCUUACCUGUUGCUUCGGCAGUGCCUGUAGCACUUGCGUGCUGCUGCUGGGAGUCCUUAAAGGACUUCGGGCUCGUUGCCUGCCGAAGAUCAUCAAACUCUUAUUAAGAAUGAAGUCUGAGAUUUAUAGCUUAAUUGCAUAAAAACUUUCAACAACGGAUCUCUUGGUUCC
rnacentral:misc_RNA from 1 species